rnacentral:misc_RNA from 1 species
CAGUGUUCUCUGUGCUGAGCGGCGGGACUGAGCUGUUGAGUUAGAGCCAACAUGAGUGAGAAAAAAAUAUGAGCUGUGAUUUGUACAAAACACACAAAAUGCAUCCGUUGGAAUCAGAGAUCCAGGAAACUUCAGCUGAAAUUAACAACUUCGUAACACAGGUAGAGCCUACGUCCUUCAUGAGAAAAAUGACACAAAUCUCAGUAUUCUUUGUUUGGAGUCUCUUGACAUCCAUGUGAGCGACAAGGUGCUGGGGCAACCAAUGGAAAAGACAAGACAUCUGGUGAAAAUGAUGGACAGAAGAAAGUUCAAGAAGAAUUUGACAUUGACAUGGAUGCACCAGAGACAGAACGUGCAGCGGUGGCCAUUCAGUCUCAGUUCAGAAAAUUCCAGAAGAAGAAGGCUGGGUCUCAGUCCUAGUGGGAGAACCCCCUCCUAGUCCACCUGAAAACACCAAAUUCAACCAUCAUCUGUCAAGAAAUUAAAAGAACAACACCCUAGAGAGAAGUCAUCCACACACAAUCCACACACGCAUAGCAAACCUCCAAUGCAUGUACAGAAACCUGUGAUAUUUAUACCCUUGUAGGAAGGUAUAGACAAUGGAAUUGUGAGUAGCUUAAUCUCUAUGUUUCUCUCCAUUUUCAUUCCUCCUGCAACUAUUUUCCUUGAUGUUGUAAUAAAAUGAAGUUACGAUGAGUGAAUUCAA